GUUUUACCCAAUGUUUGUAGAAUAUUCCUUGGAAAUUGGACUUUGAACACUACGAAGUGAACUAUCGAACCACCACGUAUGAACGAAUAAAAUUAGAUUAAAUGGCGUGGUUAAAUACCAACGUAUUAGAAUUUUUGGAUCUAUAUCGUAAAGAGCCUGUUCUGUGGGAUCCUAAAAACCCUAAACAUAAAUCAAGAUGCGACAUUGCGGCGGCAUGGGAUAGAAUCCAAACUUCUUUUUCUUUGGAUUGUUCAGUGGUAGAACUUAAAAGGAAAAAAGAAUCAUUAAUGACUUCUUUUAGAAUGCAUCUGAAUAGAAAAAAGAAAAGGUUUGGUAACUAUCAGCCUACAUGGUUCGCUUUUUCAUAUAUGGAAAGUUUCCUUGGCGGGAAUUAUGAAUGUGAUAGCUCAAAUAAAAUGGAACAAGAGCUAUUAAAUAACCCAACAUACGUUCUAUCGCAACAACAAAUGAUAACAGAAAUAAAUGUUGAUGCAAAAAGUAAUACAACUGAAAGUAAUAAUGCAGUGUCAAAAUAUUCAAUGACACCACUUCCUCAAGCAAAUGCUGAUAAAAGACCUAAGAAAAUAAGCAAUUCAAACUUUGUCUUUGUUAAAAAAAAUCUGAAAGAAGAAGCGCAGGAUAUGAAAAAUGACAUAGAAAUAAGAGAUUUUGAUGAAUAUGAUUUGUAUGGACAACUAUUGGCUAAGAAAUUAAGAAAAUUAGAAGAACAUCAGCGAGAUGUUGCCAUGCACGAAAUUGACAAUAUUAUGUUUAGGGCUAAAAUGCAAGGUAGCACCAGUCAAACCCAAAAUUAUACCACUACUCCUUCACCGGUACAUCGCAAAAUGAAAUCACCAAUUUUCAUAGUGACGCAGCAUACUCAUGAAUACGAAGAUGAAAAUGCGCCAUAUCAAGAACAUAUGCAGUCGCAAUCACCAUCGUAGCAUCCUUGUGAAUAUUUAUCACAUAUUUUUUUAAGCCUUAAAUUGUAAGAUUUAGUUAUGAAGGAUAGUUUUUACAACCCUACCUUACAUAUAUUAAAUAAUAGGUUAAAGCGGAUGAAUAUUGUUAAAAGUGGCAACAUUUAAUGUACCACAAGAAGACUGCUAAAGUCUUGGGAUAUAAAACGGGUUAUUUAAUUUCACUUAUAUUGUAAACGAAUGUGUCUGCAUUUUAAUAUGAAAGCCAUUGUUUUAAGUUCGCUUUUUUUUCUUCUUAAAAAUCAAAGAUCAAAAAUCAGCGUCCAAAUGUUAUGGAGGGUAUUCGGAUUUAUUUUCUUAUGUUUGAGAACAAAUGUCCCAUCGGGUCCAAUGUUUGUUAACAACAUGCCCAAUACCAAUUUUUGAGUUGGAUCAAAUAUUGGAAGGUCUGGUAACAAAUGUUUGACCUUAUUGGUUUUUUCUCUUGGGCCAGUUGGGCAUUUGUCCGUAAGGUUUGUCAAUAUUAUUUUUUGUUGUUACAUUUCAAUGUUACAUUUCACUUUAAAAAGAUUUUUAUGUAAUAUACCAAAGUUUAAGCUAAGCAAGUACUAAUAUAUUUCCCAUUAUACGUUUUUUAGGUAAAUAGCUGAUGAUACAUUGUAGUUAUUGUGCCAAAGCUUCGUUUUAUUCUCUAACGUAACUAUUAUAUUCUUAUUUCUGCAGUGCUGUGUGUCGACGUACAGCUACCUAGACCUAAAGGUGUGAGGUCAUAAAAUAAUAUGCGUAAUUGUUUCUAUCCGCUGCAAGUUGGGAUCCCCUAAUGUGACGUGUGUGCCUUUACAUACAAUGUUCACAUUCUGGACUUUGUUAUUGGAUUGCGCAAUAUGAAAUAAUUACGUGUUUUCUCAGUUUCAACGUUUGGUGAUACGAAGGCCGCAGUCGUAAAAAAUAAAUCAAAAUCACUUGUAUGAUGUUUUUUUUUUUGACUGAAUUUUCACUGUUUGCCUUGAAGAGGCAAUUAAAGCUCCACCGGGCUUAAGGUGGCCGAACACGGAUGGCGCUAAGCCUAAAUCUCGUUUAUGAGUAACUAAGCUCAAAGGCCCCCUCAGGAGCCAUCAGGAGCCU